rnacentral:misc_RNA from 1 species
UGCCUCAUUAAAUAUAGCAUAAAUAAUUUUAACAAUUAUUUAUAGAUAAUAGUUUUAUUUAUAAGAUAUAAGCAUAGCAUCUUAUAUUAUUAUAAAAUAUAAUUAGAUGUGUUUUCAAUAUAUAUCAAAAGAAAAAAAAGAAAACCGUAGUAUCACGUGGGCUUUUAGAGCUUGUAUUAUACUAAAAGAGGGCACUCUUUCACUGUUCCUAAUAACACUGAAAAGUCCCCUUUUGCCCUUAUAGUUUAUGUACUAACAAGAGGCUUAAUCCUAAGCAGAACUAGCUCACCCCACGAUAGCAUUUCUUUGCCCAGCACGUGCCGUGGAAAUGAAAUGACUUGUAUUAACUAUUCCUAAACUCACCCAAUGGUAGCAUUUCUUUGCCUAGUGUCACGCUACAACAAAUUUAAGUUUUAAUAGUAUUUUUUAAAUAUUAA